ACACAUGCAGUCGAGCGGAAACGAGUUAUCUGAACCUUCGGGGAACGAUAACGGCGUCGAGCGGCGGACGGGUGAGUAAUGCCUAGGAAAUUGCCCUGAUGUGGGGGAUAACCAUUGGAAACGAUGGCUAAUACCGCAUGAUGCCUACGGGCCAAAGAGGGGGACCUUCGGGCCUCUCGCGUCAGGAUAUGCCUAGGUGGGAUUAGCUAGUUGGUGAGGUAAGGGCUCACCAAGGCGACGAUCCCUAGCUGGUCUGAGAGGGAUGAUCAGCCACACUGGAACUGAGACACGGUCCAGACUCCUACGGGAGGCAGCAGUGGGGAAUAUUGCACAAUGGGCGCAAGCCUGAUGCAGCCAUGCCGCGUGUGUGAAGAAGGCCUUCGGGUUGUAAAGCACUUUCAGUCGUGAGGAAGGUAGUGUAGUUAAUAGCUGCAUUAUUUGACGUUAGCGACAGAAGAAGCACCGGCUAACUCCGUGCCAGCAGCCGCGGUAAUACGGAGGGUGCGAGCGUUAAUCGGAAUUACUGGGCGUAAAGCGCAUGCAGGUGGUUUGUUAAGUCAGAUGUGAAAGCCCGGGGCUCAACCUCGGAAUUGCAUUUGAAACUGGCAGACUAGAGUACUGUAGAGGGGGGUAGAAUUUCAGGUGUAGCGGUGAAAUGCGUAGAGAUCUGAAGGAAUACCGGUGGCGAAGGCGGCCCCCUGGACAGAUACUGACACUCAGAUGCGAAAGCGUGGGGAGCAAACAGGAUUAGAUACCCUGGUAGUCCACGCCGUAAACGAUGUCUACUUGGAGGUUGUGGCCUUGAGCCGUGGCUUUCGGAGCUAACGCGUUAAGUAGACCGCCUGGGGAGUACGGUCGCAAGAUUAAAACUCAAAUGAAUUGACGGGGGCCCGCACAAGCGGUGGAGCAUGUGGUUUAAUUCGAUGCAACGCGAAGAACCUUACCUACUCUUGACAUCCAGAGAACUUUCCAGAGAUGGAUUGGUGCCUUCGGGAACUCUGAGACAGGUGCUGCAUGGCUGUCGUCAGCUCGUGUUGUGAAAUGUUGGGUUAAGUCCCGCAACGAGCGCAACCCUUAUCCUUGUUUGCCAGCGAGUAAUGUCGGGAACUCCAGGGAGACUGCCGGUGAUAAACCGGAGGAAGGUGGGGACGACGUCAAGUCAUCAUGGCCCUUACGAGUAGGGCUACACACGUGCUACAAUGGCGCAUACAGAGGGCGGCCAACUUGCGAAAGUGAGCGAAUCCCAAAAAGUGCGUCGUAGUCCGGAUUGGAGUCUGCAACUCGACUCCAUGAAGUCGGAAUCGCUAGUAAUCGUGGAUCAGAAUGCCACGGUGAAUACGUUCCCGGGCCUUGUACACACCGCCCGUCACACCAUGGGAGUGGGCUGCAAAAGAAGUAGGUAGUUUAACCUUCGGGGGGACGCUUACCAC
rnacentral:rRNA from 1 species